CUCCUCUCUCACGCACGUCACUGCCUCUCUCCUUCUCCCUUUUCUUUUCCUUUUCUUCCUCUUUCUCUCCUUCUCCUCUCUGUUCUCCCGCACAUCACAGCAACCCCUCCCCAUUUCUCUCUUCCCCUUCUUCACACAUGUUGAGAGAGAGUAGACCGAGACUGAGAGACCGAGAGAUUGAGAGAGAGCCGGGUGCCAAAACCCGAGACUUGCGACCCGGUGACCCGUGAACCCGUGAGGCCGGUAGAACCCGAUCGGUGUGCUGAGUCAUCGCCGGUGUCCUGAGGAGCGACGAUGGCCGAACCAGGGGCGGAUUACGGUCAACCCAGGCCCGACUUCUAGUGGAUUUUCGGCGAAGACCCGUGAGACCCGUAACCCAGAACCCCUCAGACCCGUGACCUGCCGAACCUGAGAGGAAAUCUGGUUCUCCAAGUGCGAUUUCCGGCGGUCCAGGGGGUGUUUUCCGGCGAUUCACCCCUGUGACCGAUCUCCCUGUUUUUGAUGGAUUUUUGUGAAAAUCCCCAUAGGAUCAUGUUCGGAUUGGAGAAUUUAAUUGGUUCUCCAAUGUAGAGUCCAAGUGACUAGAGUCCAAGGAGUGUUUGAGUUGGAGUCCAAUGCAGCCAAGAUGAUGUUUCUUUGGCUGCAGGUACUUCGAUAUAGUUGAUGGGUUAGUAGCAGUGUGUUUGAGAUGUUAUGACUGAAGCUCGCCGCGACAGUUAUAAUUGUCGGACUACGAAUUGUCCACUAUUUUAUAGGUCUAGUAUGGCUUGUGACUUUUGUGUCACUUAUUAUUUGUAAAGCCAUUGUUGUUUUGUAAUUGUUGUGUUAAUAAAGACUCAAACAGAUAGAUGUUAAAUGGCUCUUUGUUGUAAUUGAUUUGUGAUAGAUGUAUAAGUUGUAAUUUUCGCUAUUCA